UAUCCCUCCAAGCUGUAAUUAUCUUUUUUGAGAGUCUGAGUGGCGUCACAGUCACGAUCGCGACCAGCAAGUUUAACAGAGAGAACCCGCCUCGCAGAAAGUUGGGGUCUUUGAAGAAACGAAUCAAUCACCAAUAAACGCUCACGAAGACACUUCCUUUUUUUCAAAAAAAAAAUUGUUUUUUAGUCUAAUUUCGCUUGUUUAUUAUUAUUUUAUUGUUAAUUGGGCAUUUCUAAAAUUCCUUCUCUGUUUAUGUAUUUCUCUCUCUCUCUAUGUUGCUGUCAAGUCAUCAACACUAUAAUGUGAUGUGAGGUUGGCAGGUGUUUCUUGAAAAAGAGCCUGCGUGAGUGGGCUUUUAGCACUCUGAGACUAAGAGGGAAGCUGCAGGCUUGGUGGGUUUGGAGUGAUGAGCGAAGAAAGAUAGGUUGAUAGUGUGAGUGAGUUUCAAGGCUUCUGGUGUAGCUUUCAUGGAAACGAAAGGAAGACUCAUUGCGGGUUCUCGCAACAGAAAUGAGUUUGUUCUUAUCAAUGCUGAUGAGAUUGCAAGAGUGACUUCUGUUAAAGAACUGAGCGGGCAAAUUUGCCAGAUCUGUGAGGAUGAGAUAGAAAUUACAGUCGAUAGGGAGCCAUUUGUUGCUUGCAAUGAAUGUGCAUUCCCUGUUUGUAGACCCUGCUAUGAGUUUGAAAGAAGAGAGGGAAACCAAGCCUGUCCUCAAUGCAAAACCAGAUACAAGCGCAUCAAAGGGAGCCCUAGAGUUGAAGGAGAUGAGGAAGAGGAGGAUACAGAUGAUUUAGAGAAUGAGUUUGAUAUUUCUGCCACUGCCAGAAGUGAACCUCACCACAUUGCAGACGCUAUGCUCACUGCUCGCCUUAACAUUUGCCUGGGUUCACAAGCCAUUGUUUCAGGGUUUGUUACAACAUCUGAGCUGGAUCCUAUUUCUGCAGCUCAUAAGAUUCCUCUCUUGACUUAUCAUGAAGAGGAUGUUGGGCUUUCCUCUGAUAAGCAUGCUCUUAUUAUCCCCCCAUUUCAUGGAAAACGGAUUCACCCAAUGCCAUUUUUUGACUCUUCAAUGACUUUACAACCAAGAGCAAUGGAUCCUAAGAAAGACUUGGCAGUGUAUGGGUAUGGAACAAUUGCGUGGAAGGAGAGAAUGGAGGAGAGGAAGAAAAAGCAGAGUGAAAAACUUCAAGUGGUUAAGCAUCAAGGGGAAAAGGAUGGUGGAAACAAUGAUGGAGAUGAGUUCGAUGAUCCUGAUUUACCCAUGAUGGAUGAAGGGAGACAGCCUCUUUCAAGGAAGUUACCAAUUCCUUCAAGCAAGAUAAAUCCAUACAGAUUGAUAAUUUUACUCCGGCUUGUGAUUCUUGGCCUCUUUUUUCACUAUAGAAUUCUCCAUCCUGUCAGCGACGCGUAUGGAUUGUGGCUAACAUCAAUAAUUUGUGAAAUUUGGUUUGCUGUGUCGUGGAUAUUUGAUCAGUUUCCAAAAUGGUACCCAAUUGAGCGUGAAACAUAUCUUGAUCGGUUAUCAUUGAGGUAUGAGAAAGAGGGGAAGGCAUCUGAGUUAGCUGCUGUAGACAUAUUUGUUAGUACAGUUGAUCCAUUGAAAGAA
rnacentral:misc_RNA from 1 species